AUUCCUGCUGUAUUUAUUUUGUAUUAUCAUGUUGCAAUUAACGUUUUAAUAUUGAUUUGCCCUAUUUUAUGAAUUGUGAUACUCUUGAUUUUUAACGACUCUCCAAUUAAUUGUUAGUAUUGUGAUUUAUUUUGAUUCAAUAAAACAUAGGCCUACUUUUUAAAAAAAUUCUGUGAAAACCAUGAUAGCUCAAGUUAAUGAAUGUGGUGCGCAGACAAACGAUUCAAUCUUUUAGCACUUCAUAAGAGUAUCGAAGCUGGCCGAAUAAUCCGAUGGGGACGGAUCGAUUCCCUUCCUCUGAUACGAUACCACCUGUUCGUUUAAUACCUGGCGUGCCUAGAUCGGCGGCACGCGACCAUUAUUUCCACCUAAAUAAGCGCUUUGUAAUCCUCUAACAACUGUUUGAGGGUUAUCUGCUUUGUGCACAGAUGAAGUGGAUUCGAUUUGAAGUCACAUGAGAUGGGUAACCUAUCGGGGGAGUAGAGAAGACAAUAGAAUCAUGGAAUACACACGUCCUGCUUCCAUCUCAUCUCAUCUCUCCCCGUCUCCUCUCCUCUCCUCCCAUCCCACCCCAACCGUCAACGACACGACGACGCAGCAUCGUUGAAUUCCCCAGCAGCCCAUCGCUAUGAUAUCAGUCUUUGCAGUCCAUCUUCUCUCUCCCGCCAGCCAGCUGUGAAGUGCGUUGAGUUAUGUUGUCUAGACUCCCUGGCACCAUCGGGCCGCUAACCGCCAGCUCCCAGGACUCAAAAGGUGGGUAAAAGUUUGAUGACCCUGUAUGCUGAAAUCGGCAGGCAUCUCACCACACCAAGAUGUCUUCAACCUGCAGGAGUCAAUGAACUUUAUGAAGGGGAACAUCCUGGGGUGGAGUUUGCUCCUCAGCCUGUAGAUACAGCGCGGGAGAGAGACAGUCACGCUGGAGCCGGGAGUUUCCUCCGCUUUUUCCGCCACGCACCCAUU